GGGGGUGUACCGGUUUCGACGGGGAUCGCCGGGGGUAUGGGAAGCGAGCCGCGUACUCUGACCGCGUAAUAAGCAGAGAAUUAAAAUUAACUGACAAUAACAAUCUCGCUUUCGCAGCGUAAGCUGCGCGUCGACCCGAAGCGCUCACGGCUUCGGCCACCGGCGUCAUUGAUGUGAGGAACAGGCUCGCUUAAGCUUUGCGGCGAUGCCGGUAAAAUGAAGCUACCCGGGCUCCAAGCCUGACAAAGGGCGUUCAGUCCGGGGAAAUUCAAAACUUUGUCUGCGCUCGGAGAAACCUGUAUCUUUGGGUCUUCGGACAGGAGUUCGACUCUCCUCACCUCCACCA
rnacentral:tmRNA from 1 species